GCUGGCCUUAGUGCCCCAGGAUCAGGGAGGACUGGUUUCAGAAGCUGCCAGAGGAGGAGCCAGAAACAGAUCUCAGCCCCGGGCUCCCAGCUGCCCACCUCAUAGCGCUCCGCUGAAGGGGCAGGGGCUAGGCUGGGAGACGACGAAGGAACAGGCGUUUCUGACGAGCGGGACGCAGUUCUCGGACGCCGAGGGGCUGGCGCUCCCGCAGGACGGCCUCUAUUACCUCUACUGUCUCGUCGGCUACCGGGGCCGGGCGCCCCCUGGCGGCGGGGACCCCCAGGGCCGCUCGGUCACGCUGCGCAGCUCUCUGUACCGGGCGGGGGGCGCCUACGGGCCGGGCACUCCCGAGCUGCUGCUCGAGGGCGCCGAGACGGUGACUCCAGUGCUGGACCCGGCCAGGAGACAAGGGUACGGGCCUCUC
rnacentral:lncRNA from 1 species